rnacentral:rRNA from 1 species
UACGUAGGGUGCGAGCGUUAAUCGGAAUUACUGGGCGUAAAGCGUGCGCAGGCGGUUUUGUAAGCCCGGGUUGAAAUCCCCGGGCUCAACCUGGGAAUGGCAUUUGAUACUCUGGAGCUUGAGUACGGGAGAGGAGAGUGGAAUUCCCAGUGUAGAGGUGAAAUUCGUAGAUAUUGGGAAGAACACCGGUGGCGAAGGCGGCUCUAUGGACCGUAACUGACGCUGAGGCGCGAAAGCGUGGGGAGCAAACAGG